UUCUAGGUGGUUGCCAGGGCGUUGCUAUGCAGUUGCUAAGGCGUUCUGAGUGUUGCUGUUGUAGAUGGUUGUUGGGAUGUUCUAGGUGGUUGCCAGGGCGUUGCUAUGCAGUUGCUAAGGCGUUCUGAGUGUUGCUGUUGUAGAUGGUUGUUGGGAUGUUCUAGGUGGUUAUCAGGACGUUGCUAUGCAGUUGCUAAGGCGUUCUGAGUGUUGCUGUUGUAGAUGGUUGUUGGGAUGUUCUAGGUGGUUGCCAGGGCGUUGCUAUGCAGUUGCUAAGGCGUUCUGAGUGUUGCUGUUGUAGAUGGUUGUUGGGAGGUUGUAGGUGGUUGCCAGGGCGUUGCUAUGCAGUUGCUAAGGCGUUCUGAGUGUUGCUGUUGUAGAUGGUUGUUGGGAUGUUCUAGGUGGUUGCCAGUACGUUGCUAUGCUGUUGCUAAGGCGUUCUGAGUAUUGCUGUUGUAGAUGGUUGUUGGGAUGUUCUAGGUGGUUACCAGGGCUUUGCUAUGCUGUUGCUAAGGCGUUCUGAGUAUUGCUGUUGUAGAUGGUUGUUGGGAUGUUCUAGGUGGUUACCAGGGCUUUGCUAUGCUGUUGCUAAGGCGUUCUGAGUAUUGCUGUUGUAGAUGGUUGUUGGGAUGUUCUAGGUGGUUACCAGGGCUUUGCUAUGCUGUUGCUAAGGCGUUCUGAGUAUUGCUGUUGUAGAUGGUUGUUGGGAUGUUCUAGCUGGUUACCAGGGCGUUUGGUGUUCUGUGUAUAUCCCUUUAGUCUGGCACAAAUCUGGUCUUUAGAUAUGAUAUUUAACAUGCAUGUUCCAUUUUUACAAUGCAGUUUGCCAUAUUUAAUGUGGCUGAAUUGGUUUCAUUUGCCGCAAGUUUUUUUUAUUUUUUUUAUUAUUGUCAUUUUGCUGCAGUAUGGAGAUGUUGAAAGCGCCUGUGAAGUGUCAGGACCCCCGUCGGCCCUCAUUGACGUUCUCUGAAGGGGGUCUGACUCACGUCUGUCAUUCGUAGAUGCUGACAUUUCCACUGGCUGUGUGUCAUGACAGUUUUACUGAAGACUAUUCAUGCCAUGAAUUAUUCAUAAAAACAUCACUGUACGGCAGGCAUGAUUCUGAGGGAUUGGGCAAAUUGAAAUCCUGCUGGCAAAGGUGAAUUAUACAUUAGC
ensembl:lncRNA